rnacentral:lncRNA from 1 species
UAAACUCUCUCUCCUAAACCUCUCUCUACAAUUUUCCCCCCUUUUUCACACGCUCACGCGCUUCUAUCUCACUGCCUCAUCCACGGUCUUGCGCUCUCAUAUAACCUCUAGGAUUGGGCCUACACUUGCGCCGUUCGAGCCAUUGGCUUGGGCUAGAGUAGGCCGUUCGAGCCAUUGGCUUGGGCUAGAGUAGGCCUGAC